rnacentral:rRNA from 1 species
UACGUAGGGGGCAAGCGUUGUCCGGAAUUAUUGGGCGUAAAGAGCUCGUAGGCGGUCUGUCGCGUCGGCUGUGAAAACCCGGGGCUCAACCCCGGGCCUGCAGUCGAUACGGGCAGACUAGAGUGUGGUAGGGGAGACUGGAAUUCCUGGUGUAGCGGUGAAAUGCGCAGAUAUCAGGAAGAACACCCGUGGCGAAGGCGGCUCUCUGGGACGGUACUGACGCUGAGACGCGAAAGCGUGGGGAGCGAACAGG